GAUGAACGCUGGCGGCGUGCCUAAUACAUGCAAGUCGAACGAAACUUCUUUAUCACCGAGUGCUUGCACUCACCGAUAAAGAGUUGAGUGGCGAACGGGUGAGUAACACGUGGGCAACCUGCCCCAAAGAGGGGGAUAACACUUGGAAACAGGUGCUAAUACCGCAUAACCAUAGUUACCGCAUGGUAACUAUGUAAAAGGUGGCUAUACUACCGCUUUUGGAUGGGCCCGCGGCGCAUUAGCUAGUUGGUAGGGUAAAGGCUUACCAAGGCAAUGAUGCGUAGCCGAAUUGAGAGGUUGAUCGGCCACAUUGGGACUGAGACACGGCCCAAACUCCUACGGGAGGCAGCAGUAGGGAAUCUUCCACAAUGGGCGAAAGCCUGAUGGAGCAACGCCGCGUGGGUGAAGAAGGUCUUCGGAUCGUAAAACCCUGUUGUUAGAGAAGAAAGUGCGUGAGAGUAACUGUUCACGUUUCGACGGUAUCUAACCAGAAAGCCACGGCUAACUACGUG
rnacentral:rRNA from 1 species